rnacentral:lncRNA from 1 species
GUAGUACAACAGCUACAUCAGCUUUGCAACAGAGGUGAAAACACUACAGAUUUUCUGAUCUGUUUCAUCCCUAAGUACCCUGCUCUGGAAUGAAACUGGGGAAACUCCAGAAUUACUUUGACCCAAGUGUUCAUAGCAUUAACCCAGCUAGCUCUGUGUAGCCUUUUGCCACUUCCACUGAGUGGGAGGAAGGAAGCAAAACUGGGUCACUGUGUACUCUGGGUCAGAUUGUAGCUUCCAAGCUCUUACAUUUACCAAGAUCUUAAAAAAGGAGCAACUUUUUGCUGACCCUUCUUUCAGUGAAAACUGAUUACAAUAUCACAGUUAAGCUCAAAGACUUCUGCUGUAUUGAUCUCAACAGGAGCAACUUCAGUGAGUAUGGAUGUUAAUGAAAGACCACCGCCUUCUCUUCCUCCAAAGACUGACUCCUUUAUUCAGAGGGAGAUAAUGACAGAGAAGAUCAUGGCUGGGUCAUCUAUACCACCCUGUCUUCCUUCUAAAGCCAAUACGAACCUUCAUUUGCUCAUCUGGGAAUAUGCCAGCAAGAACCUGGACAUAGUCACCGUAUAAAGCAUACCAAAUGAACCUGUACUACUGAAGCAUGCUAGAACCAAAGCUAGAAGUAUCACCUCCAGAGAAAACUCAUCAUUUGGAGGUAGUCACCCACCCAGGACACUUCUAGGCAUUUGCCAUGUAACUGUCUUCCAAUCC